AACUAACGCUGGCGGCGUGCCUAACACAUGCAAGUCGUACGAGAAAGCCGGCUUCGGCUGGUGAGUAAAGUGGCGCACGGGUGAGUAACGCGUGGAUAAUCUGCCCUUAAGUGUGGAAUAACGUACCGAAAGGUGCGCUAAUACCGCAUAAUGCCUGGCAACACAAGUUGUCCGGCCAAAGAAGGCCUCUGUUUACAAGCUUUCGCUUCAGGAUGAGUCCGCGUACCAUUAGCUUGUUGGUGGGGUAAUGGCCUACCAAGGCUGCGAUGGUUAGCUGGUCUGAGAGGAUGAUCAGCCAACUGGAACUGAGACACGGUCCAGACUCCUACGGGAGCAGCAGUGAGAUAUUGCGCAAUGGGGCAACCCUGACGCAGCAACGCCGCGUGAGUGAGGAAGGUUUUCGGACUGUAAAGCUCUGUCGAGCGGGAAGAAGUGUACCAUGGCUAAUAUCCAUGAUAUUUGACGGUACCGCUAGAGG
rnacentral:rRNA from 1 species